GACGCAAAACAGGCAAACCCUUGAGAAAGAUGUGGCUGCCUUACAGGCCAGACCCACCUGCCAUUUUAGGAUGAUGGAUGAAGAUAAAGAGCUUUAGAGGAGGGUAGAAGUGGUGUUAGCUUCUGACUGACUUGCAUGCUUCAGCCAAAGAAAAGCCGCACGGAGACAAAACAGGCAGAGAGGAAGGGAUCAAAGCAAAGGUAGAAUCUGGAAUCAUGAAAACUUCAGGAGAAGAGUCAGAGAGAAAGGCCAGCUCAAAGCCCACAUGCAGCAGGCCCUAGUUACCUAAGGGACCAGAACAGUUUGGGUCUGAGCAGGAAAUGGACCCAGCCCUCAGCUGGAGACAGACUUCAGAGAAGAUCCCAAGAGGCAUGGAAUUCUUAACUCCACUUGGCAGAUGGGCCAACCCAACCCCACCAUGGGUUAAAAAUUGUUUACUGUCAAUUUAUCAAAGAUGACAAGGUGCCUUUGGAUAAACACUUCUGGGGAGGCUGCAGGGGGUCCCAGGCAGCCAUCUCUGUUGCUGUGUUCAUCUCUGGGCCUCUGUGGUGUAGUGUAUCACUAACCUACCUUCCAGACUUAAUCACGUUUAAACCUAUUUCAUACUUCAGAUUCUUUGACAACAAAAUCACUGGCCAUCUAUGGAGCAACCAUCUCAUGAGCAAUUAACUAGAAUGUGGUAUUCGGUGUUGCUUAAAAGAUAUUAAGUUUACAGCUCUGUCUGAAAUGCUAAAUAACUGCUUGGAGAUGUUUGGCAUUCUUUUAUCUGCUGGUGACAAUCCUGAAAAGACUGAGAAAAGCUAUCCAGAAAAGUUACCAAGGGAGUGCUACAAGCAGGGAGGGCAAUGCCUAGAGAAAAUCAACAGCCAGCAGAUCCAGGACCCCGAGAAAUGCUUACUAGAGCCGACCAAGCCAGGGAAGAGCCAAGAAACGCCCAGAGGGGAGAAAGGCAGUCCCCUACCCCAACCUACAGCCGGUAGAUAAAGCCAGAGAAGAGACAGAAGCAGCAGAGGGGGAAGACAGAUCCACGCCUGCUGCCAGAGCUGGUAAAUCUACACCCCAGGAACACAGAAGUGGUAAGGAUUUAGAAACUGCUCCGGCACUGAUAAAACAGCACCCCAGAAGUACCUGUGCCGGACACUCCAAAAAGGCAUGGAGGGAGAAGCACCCUGCACUGCACUGAAGCCAGGAGUCCCUUGCUACUCCUGGCACCUGUUCUUGCUUUCCUAGACAUGCUUUGAAUUCUUUCAUGGCUGUGGUUAAGAACCGAAGAACCCCCAAACAGGUAACAUCUAGGAACGCCCAAAUCCAGUAACAGAGGGUUGAAGCUUGCAAUAAAGAAGAAUGAAAGCUGAACAACUGACUGGAUGUCAUAACUCACUGUCUGGAGGCACUGCACGGGAAUGGUAGGCUGGGCUCAGAGCAAGAUUCUCUGGACUUGAACCUUGAGGUCAUCGCUUCAAAACCCUGGGAAGCCGGGAGUGGCUUGUCUGAUGUGUGAAUUGAAAAGGCACAGCAAUCAGCAGCUCUGACCCUCUGGGCAUCUCUGGCAUCCCUCUGCCCACAAGGCAGCUGCACUCUGCACCAUUUCAGCUUCUAGGCACUGUGGCCUGGGCCCAGGUCUGUCUUGCAGGGUAAACCUGGAGGCUUGUCUUUUCCGUGAGAGUGUGAGAAAGUGGUUCAGGCAAAUAUAUCUACUUUAUAAAGCCAAACCAUCCCCAACUGACCUAUCUCAACAUGUAGUCUUAGAGCAAAGCUCUAGGAAACUUGAUUUGACUACAGAUCUGCGAUCUUUCUUUUUUUAGCAUAUUUUUAUUAAUUUAUCCCACACAUAUCUUUUUAAA